UACGGAAGGUAGCAGUGGGGAAUAUUGCACAAUGGGCGCAAGCCUGAUGCAGCCAUGCCGCGUGUAUGAAGAAGGCCUUCGGGUUGUAAAGUACUUUCAGUCGUGAGGAAGGUGUUAAGGUUAAUAACCUUAGCAAUUGACGUUAGCGACAGAAGAAGCACCGGCUAACUCCGUGCCAGCAGCCGCGGUAAUACGGAGGGUGCGAGCGUUAAUCGGAAUUACUGGGCGUAAAGGGCACGCAGGCGGUUAAUUAAGUUGGAUGUGAAAUCCCCGGGGCUUAACCUGGGAAUGGCAUUCAAGACUGGUUAGCUAGAGUCUUGUAGAGGGGGUUAGAAUUCCAUGUGUAGCGGUGAAAUGCGUAGAGAUGUGGAGGAAUACCGGUGGCGAAGGCGGCCCCUGGACAAAGACUGACGCUCAUGUGCGAAAGCGUGGGGAGCAAACA
rnacentral:rRNA from 1 species